UACGAAGGGGGCUAGCGUUGCUCGGAAUUACUGGGCGUAAAGGGCGCGUAGGCGGACAUUUAAGUCAGAGGUGAAAGCCCAGGGCUCAACCUUGGAAUUGCCUUUGAUACUGGAUGUCUUGAGUUCGGGAGAGGUGAGUGGAAUGCCGAGUGUAGAGGUAAAAUUCGUAGAUAUUCGGCGGAACACCAGUGGCGAAGGCGACUCACUGGCCCGAUACUGACGCUGAGGCGCGAAAGCGUGGGGAGCAAACAGG
rnacentral:rRNA from 1 species